rnacentral:rRNA from 1 species
UACGAAGGGUGCAAACGUUGUUCGGAAUUACUGGGCGUAAAGGGCUCGUAGGCGGCCAACUAAGUCCGACGUGAAAUCCCAAAGCUUAACUUGGAACUGCGUCGGAUACUGGAUGGCUUGAAUUCGGGAGAGGGAUGCAGAAUUCCAGGUGUAGCGGUGAAAUGCGUAGAUAUCUGGAGGAAUACCGGUGGCGAAGGCGGCAUCCUGGACCGACAUUGACGCUGAGGAGCGAAAGCUAGGGGAGCAAACGGG